CGCGGUGCGCCUGGCACCGCGCCGCCGCCGCGUGAUCGGCGAGCCGUUGCCUCCUCCCCCGUCGGCGCCCUUCCGCCGGCGUCCACCACCGCCUGCAGGCCUUGCGUGUGGUGGUGAAUGGAGGAGUAGCCUCCUUAGGAGCCCGCAGUUCGAUGUUUGAAAGUAGCAUUCACGUUGGAGGGCACGAGUGUUCCCAGCAGGAGGUAGUAGUGUACUGGUAAUAAUAGUAUAAUACUAUCUAUGAAUGCAUAUAAUUUGAAAUGGAAAUGAUUAUUUGUUUAUGAAGGUAUUUUUGUGCUUUUUUUUUUAUGAUGAAUCCAGUAACGUUAAACUUUUGCUGUCAACGCUAUGUGAUCUGCCACAGAGCGAAACUGAAGGAACCAGGAGAGAAUGUAUCCGUUGCACAUACACACAUGGGGUGGGGUAGUAGAUCAGUUCAGACUUCUUUUUUUUUAAAGGAGAUCAGUUCAGACUUCAGAGUAGGCGAUGAGCUGAAGAUUUCUGAGAUGCAUAUCUUUCUUGAGAUUCCAAGACCGAUGUGGAGUGCUUGACUAACCAGCACAGCAGUAUACUUCGAUUAUUGCCACCCUAGACAGCCUGAGCUGGUCUAAGUUGGUUGAUUAUUGCCACUGCUUCCUUCGAUCGGGUUCCAUUGACUGUCCUCUACCAACCGAUUACUUUUGCUGACAUUUGGAGUCCAGGCCCAAUCAACGAAGCACCGAGCUUCCAAAGCUUUACCUCUCUGCUCCAUUGACUGUGCUCGCAUACUGGAUCGACAUGAUCGGUCUCGAUUUCUGAAGACGCAACUGAAGGUGUUCUCUUUUUCACAUCAGAUGUUCUGAUGUUCAGAUUAAGUGCCAACUUUUGACAACAGCCCUCACCAAAUGGUCCAGGUUCUGAAGGCGGCCUUCAUGAGGCGACCAAGGACCACGGUUAAAACUUAAAAUAAUCAGGCUAGCUGAAGACUGAUGGUGCGGUUACUCAUUUAAAAUAAGCUCGGGACUUGGUUGAUCUAGACCAUAUAUCAUGUUCAUGCAUGCUCCAUGCAGCAAAGGACAGCCAGCCCACUAGCAGGCAGCGGCAAAAACAAAACAGAGGUUUCACAUGCGUGUGCGCUGCGAGCAGACCAUCUACUAGCUGACAUUUGACCCCCUCACAGAGUCACAGUUAACCACCACUAAUUGGGUUGGACAGGCAGACAAGGGGAAAAAAAUGGCAAGAACAUUGAAAAUCACAAGAAGAUGCUUCCUCAUGUGGUCCACUGCUGAAUCCCUAGAAGCAGCCGGUGCGUGCAUGCCUGCAUCGCUUUGGACUCUUCAAUGCAAGGUGCACAACACCUUUACAUAUAAACUAACAAUGCUGUAACUAGAUACUAGCUUGCUAAGCAUGAUCCAUGGCAGAUGCAGCUUCAGAGCUUAGCAGUUCAGAGUUACUACUUGUAUCUGAUAAGAUCGGCGCACGCAGGCAGGUACUGAAUCGAAGCAAGCUCCAGCCUCCAGGCUCCAGCUCUUUCCCUGAAGCCGUCAGGCUGGAUUGGUCUGAUGAUCUUGCAAUGCAAUUUGGGAACCGCUUCUAUUACUUUAUCCCGAUUAGCGUGUGCGAGAUCAGGCAGAAAUUUGCAUAUCAUGUGUCUCUGGACAGUGGAAUCAACCGGUGGGAAUCUUUAGUACCAAGUUGCCGAAUGAACGGUUCAAUCCUUCAUACUCAAAGCCCUAACCUUUACUUUGGAUCUAAAGCAGUAACAAAAAAUUAAAAAAUCGAAUCAAGUUUUUUUUUCUUUUCUCUGAAUUUCUCUCUUCUAGGGUCCUACUUAGUUUCCCCUAUUUCUCUGCUCUCAUGGUCUUCAGGUCUUCAAGAUAGCCAAUGUUUUCUCCUCUUUGCAUACAUUCAUCAGCAGAUUCCUAGAAUCCUACUUCCUGCCUACCCAGAAAUCUAAAUUCCGAGAAGAACAUAGUAGAGUAUCGUGAUUGGAAGUGCGAUGAGCAUCCCGAAAAUAACCCUGAAAAUUCACAACACAAGCACGCAUGAUGUCAGCCUCUGCUGUGAAUACAACAACAGCUAAGCAUGAGUCUAUGUCUUGCAAACUUUGAGCAUGGAUUUGCUUACGCUGUGCUAAGUAUUUGAGGAUGGCAGUUGUACUCCUUGGCAAACACAAAGGGGACGAUGCCUUGUGGAAGUGCAGCCUGAGCACUCCCCGGAGCCCAAUGGCGAUGGAGGUGGCGGCAAUCACCGCUGGACCGGUCAAGAACCUCACCGCCAUUGCGAACGUCGCCACCCUCUUACCGCAAGAGAUGAUCUUUGGUUGGAGAGCCAUGAACAGACCUAGGUCACGUGUAGCACCGUCAGAAUUUCUCGGUUCAUGUAAAGAACAAAAUACCAGUUUCAAUGAAGAACGGAUAUCAAAUAGCCAGUGCUUGUACCUAAGCUGAACAUAGCCAUUCCUAGCCCUGCAUCGGACAAUAUCGAUAUCGAUCCCUUUAUAAUUGAGGGCAUUUGGAUGUUCCACCUGAAAAUUCAGAAACAAAUUUUGUUAA